rnacentral:tRNA from 1 species
AUUAGAAAGUUAUAAAUUGAUUUGCACUCAGUUAAUAUGUUAUACAUACUUGGAAAA